UACGAAGGGGGCGAGCGUUGUUCGGAUUUACUGGGCGUAAAGCGCGCGCAGGCGGUUUCUUAAGUCUGAUGUGAAAGCCCACGGCUCAACCGUGGAGGGUCAUUGGAAACUGGGGAACUUGAGUGCAGAAGAGAAAAGCGGAAUUCCACGUGUAGCGGUGAAAUGCGUAGAGAUGUGGAGGAACACCAGUGGCGAAGGCGGCUUUUUGGUCUGUAACUGACGCUGAGGCGCGAAAGCAUGGGGAGCAAACAGG
rnacentral:rRNA from 1 species